GUAAGUAUAGUUUAUAUAAAACAUUAGAUUGUGAUUCUAAAAUUAAGGCUUAAAACCCUUUACAUACC
rnacentral:tRNA from 1 species